AGAAUGAACGUUGGCGGCGUGGAUUAGGCAUGCAAGUCGCGCGCCCCGCAAGGGGAGCGGCGCAAGGGUGAGUAAGGCGACGGUAACCAACCCCGCAAAUGGGCAUAGCCGAGGGAAACCUCGGGUAAUUCCCAGCGAAGUCGCGGAGAGGCAUCUCUCUGCGACCAAAGUUCCGGCGUUGCGGGACGGGCCGUCGUGGUAUUAGCUUGUUGGCGGGGUGACGGCCCACCAAGGCUACGAUGCCUACCGGGCGUGCGAGCGUGGCCCGGCACACUGGGACUGAGACACUGCCCAGACUCCUACGGGAGGCUGCAGUCGAGAAUCUUCGGCAAUGGGCGCAAGCCUGACCGAGCGACGCCGCGUGGAGGACGAAGGCCUUCGGGUUGUAAACUCCUGUCGAGGGGGAGGAAGGCGUAAGCUUGACCGAUCCCGUGGAGGAAGCGACGGGCUAAGUUCGCGCCAGCAGCCG
rnacentral:rRNA from 1 species